GACGAACGCUGGCGGCGUGCCUAACACAUGCAAGUCGAACGGAAAGACCCGGCUCUUGUGCGUCGCACGAGUGGCGCACGGGUGAGUAACACGCGUGUAACCUGCACUUGUAUUUCGGAUAAAUCCAGGAAAAUCGGGAUCUUAUAGGAUAGGAUCUCCUGCUGCACGGUGGGGGUUGGAGAGUUUCGGCGGUUGGGUAUGGUCUCGAGGCUUCUCAGCUGGUUGGUGGGGUAGGGGAUUACCAAGGCUUUGACGGGUAGCCGGCCUGAGAGGGUGACCGGCCACAUUGGGACUGAGAGACGGCGCAGACGGCUACGGGAGGCAACAGUGGAGAGUAUUGCGCAAUGGGCGGAAGCCUGAUGCAGCGACGCCGCGUGCGGGAUGACGGCCUUCGGGUUGUGAACCGCUGUCGCCGUUGACGAAGCGGGAGUGACGGUAAUUGGUAAAAAAGCACCGGCUAACUACGUG
rnacentral:rRNA from 1 species